rnacentral:tRNA from 1 species
GCCUGGGUGGCUCAGUCGGUUAGCGUCUGACUUUGGCUCAGGUCACGAUCUCAUGGUUUGUGGGUUUGAGCCCCACGUCAGGCU